UACGGAGGAUCCAAGCGUUAUCCGGAUUUAUUGGGUUUAAAGGGUGCGUAGGCGGAUUGAUAAGUUAGAGGUGAAAUGUCCGAGCUCAACUCGGGAACUGCCUCUAAUACUGUUGAUCUAGAGAGUAGAUGCGGUAGGCGGAAUGUAUGGUGUAGCGGUGAAAUGCUUAGAGAUCAUACGGAACACCGAUUGCGAAGGCAGCUUACCAAUCUAUAUCUGACGUUGAGGCACGAAAGCGUGGGGAGCAAACAGG
rnacentral:rRNA from 1 species